CCGGAGGUAGCUCAAUGGCAGAGCAAUCGGCUGUAGACCGAUAGGUUGAGAGUUCGACUCUCUCCCUCCGGA
rnacentral:tRNA from 1 species